GCUAGAAUAGCUUAUAGAAAGCAGAACAUUGAAGAUGUUCAUAUGGAUAUCUUUUCCUUUUAGUA
rnacentral:tRNA from 1 species